UACGAAGGGGACUAGCGUUGUUCGGAAUUACUGGGCGUAAAGCGCACGUAGGCGGAUUUGUAAGUCAGGGGUGAAAUCCCGGGGCUCAACCUCGGAACUGCCUUUGAUACUGCAAAUCUCGAGUCCGGAAGAGGUGAGUGGAAUUCCUAGUGUAGAGGUGAAAUUCGUAGAUAUUAGGAAGAACACCAGUGGCGAAGGCGGCUCACUGGUCCGGUACUGACGCUGAGGUGCGAAAGCGUGGGGAGCAAACAGG
rnacentral:rRNA from 1 species